rnacentral:rRNA from 1 species
UACGUAGGGUGCGAGCGUUGUCCGGAAUUAUUGGGCGUAAAGAGCUUGUAGGCGGUUUGUCGCGUCUGCCGUGAAAGCCCAGGGCUUAACCCUGGGUCUGCGGUGGGUACGGGCAGACUAGAGUGUGGUAGGGGGAGAUUGGAAUUCCUGGUGUAGCGGUGGAAUGCGCAGAUAUCAGGAGGAACACCGAUGGCGAAGGCAGAUCUCUGGGCCGUGAACUGACGCUGAGGAGCGAAAGCAUGGGGAGCGAACAGG